rnacentral:tRNA from 1 species
AUUAGGGUGGCAGAGCCCGGUAAUUGCAAAAGAUCUAAAAUCUUUAUACCAAAAGUUCAAAUCUUUUCCCUAAUA